ensembl:lncRNA
AGGAUUAAACCCCCAUUGUAUAACAUUAAAAUUGCAAACAAAUUGGUCAAAAGACAACUGAAAGCGGGAAGCACGCAGAUGGUUGAAGAGAUGUGACAGACAAGAGAUGACUUGCAGCAAAUUGACGUGAAAGUACCUGGCUUAUCAUGGCCCUAUCCAGUUAAAUGGUGGAGAGUUCAGGAGCUGUGAGCAAUGCAUCAACCUACAUGAAUAGGUUGGUGUAUUGGGGUGGCCUGUUCUGUCCUCUGUAUUUCAGACCAAGGCAAGACAAUGUUUAAAGCUUACCAUGGAUCUACAAACAGUGUCAACUUGAAUUUGAGUGUGGCUGUGGAAGACUGGUUCCUUGAUGAUGUCUGCAAUGAUCUCUGAUUCCAUCCCGUCAUGCCAAGGUUCACAAUCUGUCCGAAGAAUGCAAACUCUAUUCAAUUGUCCACUUUGCAACAAACAUACUUUCUCUGUGUCCAGACUACUCACAUAUUGGCCUCUAUCACCAGCACAAACUAAAUUGCAUAAUUACCUGUGGAUUUAAUAGGUGCUGGAAAACAUAUACAGUACAUUGGGAAAGUAUUCAGACCCCUUCCCUUUUUCCACAUGUUGUUAUGUUACAGCCUUAUUCUAAAAUGGAUUAAAUUAAUUGUUUUCCUUAUCAAUCUACACACAAUACUCCAUAAUGACAAAGCAAAAACAAAGCAAAAACACCUCAGGGAGGUGACCAAGAACCUCCUUGGUCACUCUGACAGAGCUCCAGAGUUCCUCUGUGGAGAUGGGAGAACCUUCCUGAAGGACAACCAUCUCUGCAGCACUCCACCAAUCAGGCCUUGAUGGUAGAGUGGCCAGACAGAAGCCACUCCUCAGUAACAGGUACAUGACAGCCUGCUUGGAGUUUACCAAAAGGUACCUAAAGGACUCUCAGACCAUGAGAAACAAGAUUCUCUGGUCUGAUGAAACCAAGAUUGAACUCUUUGGCCUGAAUGCCAAGUGUCACGUCUGGAGGAAACCUGGCACCAUCCCUACGGUGAAGCAUGGUGGUGGCAGCAUCAUGCUGUGAGGAUGUGUUUCAGCAGCAGGGACUGGGGGACUAGUCAGGAUCAAGGGAAAGAUGAACAGAGCAAAGUACAGAGAUCCUUGAUGAAAACAUGCUCCAGAGCGCCCAGGACCUUAGACUGGGGUGAAGGUUCACCUUCCAACAGUAGGUUCACCUUCCAACAGUAGGUUCACCUUCCAACAGUAGGUUCACCUUCCAACAGUAGGUUCACCUUCCAACAGUAGGUUCACCUUCCAACAGUAGGUUCACCUUCCAACAGUAGGUUCACCUUCCAACAGUUCGCAACAUGUAAAGUGUUGGUCCCAUGUUUCAUGAGCUGAAAGAAAAGUUCCUAGAAAUGUUCAACGACUCUAAGCACACAGGAAAGACAAUGCAGGAGUAUCUUCGGGACAAGUCUCUGAAUGUCCUUGAGUGGCCCGGACUUGAAUCCAAUUUAACAUCUCUGGAGAGACCUGAAAAUAGCUGUGCAGCGACGCUCCCCAUCCAACCUGACAGAGAAUCUGCAGAGAAGAAUGGGAGAAACUCCCCAAAUACAGGUGUACCAAGCUUGUAGCGUCAUACCAAAGAAGGCUCGAGGCUGCAAUUGUUGCCAAAGAUGCUUCAACAAAGUACUGAGUAAAGGGUCUGAAUACUUAUGCUAAUGUGAUAUUUCCGUUUUUUAUUUUUAAUACAUUUGCAAAAUUUCUAAAAACCUGUUUUUGCUUUGUCAUUAUGGAGUAUUGUGUGUUGAUUGAUGAGGGAUUUUUUUUUAAAAUCAAUUUUAGAAUAAGGCUGUAAUGUAACAAGAUGUGGAAAAAGUCUAGGGGUCUGAAUACUUUGUAGAUGUUUCAUCACCUAUCGGUCACACAUCUACCUGUCACGCCGGCUCCCACUCUCCCUCUCAGGCUGCCCUUCAUUGCGCACACCUGUCACCAUCAUUCCGCGCAUUAGCACUCACUGGACUCAACUGGACUCCUUCACUUUGUUGAUUACCUUCCCUAUUUCUGUCUGCUUCCGCUUUUGUUCCCUGUGUCAGCAUUAAUGUCAUUAUUUGUUCAUGUCCAGACGCUGUCCUGUUUUAUGUCCGUUGGUUAUUAAAUGCUCACUCCCUGUACCUGCUUCCUGUCUACCAGCGUAGAGCCUUACACUACCGAAACCACAGAGAUCAACACUUAGCAGCUAAUCGAAGGUCUCAAAAAGAAUAUCUGUAUUUCAUUUUGAAAAUCAGGGAAGAACACUGCCUCCCAGCUACGGUACAUAAUAGCAUUGUUGAAGACCACAGAACAAUUGUUGAUGCAUUUAUGACACACUACAGUGAUGCCCUCAGGUUUCACCUUACAAAUUAGCAAAUACAUGUGGAUGAAGAUGGUGAGGAAUGCAUUAGAUGCACAAGCUCUGAGUGGAUACUGGAGCAUUACUGUGUGAAAUAAUUGGGAAUGGUCAGGCCAAGUGUCACAACUCCUACCGAAGGUGGCUCCCCUUCCUGUUCGGGUGGCGCUCGGCGGUCGUCGUCACCGGCCUACUAGAUGCCACUGAUCCCUUUUCCCCUUUCUGUUUAUUGGUUUCACCUGUUUUGUGUGUAGGCUAUUAGUCGGGCUAUGUUAACCAGUAGGCCCGCCUGCUCUUUGUGAGGGAUUGGUUUGUGUUGCUCUGAGCACGUUCGAUGUUGACGUGUUUCGUUCAUGGGUUUUUCUCCAGACUGUUUGAGUCCCUGUGUUUGGGGCAUUUGUUUUGUGUGCGCCCUGUGUUUCGUGGGGUGGCUUAUGUUCGCGGUGUGUGCAAUAAAUAGCACUACCCUGUACUCUCUGCUUCCUGUGCCUGACUUCACACCCACUACGCCCAGAGCGUUACACCAAGUGAAGUACCCCUGAGCAACAAAGAAGGUUAUAAAACAAGGUCAUUUGAAUACAUCCCAUUGGUCAGCAUACUGCAAAAAUAGCAAGUAAUGAAGAGGUCUGGACCACCUUGAAUCAAGACCAAAAGCCACAUAAUGAUGAGAUUCUAGAAGACUUUACAGACGGUGAAUUGUUCAAAUCCCAACCUAACAAAGCAGAGCCUCCAUCUGCAGUUUUACAUAGAUGAAUUGGAAGUUGUCAAUCCACUGGGUUCUAAAAAAGGCAAGCACAAAUUGACCACUGUGUACUUUAGAUUAGGAAAUCUUGACCACAAGGAUACUCCCCAACUCCAGAAUAUAUACCUCUCCACAUUGGUUCAUCACCGCCUCAUUCGAAUACAAGUCACCACUUACUAAGAAGCAUUGGAGCAUUUGAUACGUGAAAUCCAGGAAUUGGAAGCACUGGGUGUGAAGUUAACAUGCAAUGGUGAAGACAAAACCUUCUGAAUAACAAUCACAACAGUCUCAGCAGAUGAUCUCUCCUCACGCAGGGUUGCAGGGUUGAGAAAAAAACGUUUCCUCUGGUCGCAUUUGUCGCUUCCAGACAUUGCAUCGAUGUAUUGGCAUCAAAAAAGCCUGUUGCUUCUCUCAGCUGAAUCAUGUGCCAUCUCCCAUUAUGUAUCUGUUUCCACCAGACGUCAUGCAUAACAUUCACGAGGGCAUCAUACCCACAUUGCUCAGACUGGUGUUGCAACAAUUACUCUUGUCCAGAUCAACUAUGAGGUUGAGAACUUGUCUUAUGGCAACGAGAUGUGUCUUCUAAACCUGCUCCACUAUCCGAGAGAGUCCAAAGGAAGAAUGGCCAUCUAUCAGGAAGUUCAUCAGAACAAUUAGCACGUUUUCGUUUACUCCCCCAAAUGAUUGGUAGUCAAAUACAAAAUGGCAGUGCUUGGAAUCUCUACGUCCUGUUUCGAGAGGUAUCUGAUGUCAUCUUGGCCAGCAUUUUAAGAUGAUCCUAGAUCCCAUAUCUGGCAGAAAAAAAUCACAGAAUUUCAAGCUCUCUUCCAGGAGCUGUUUCCAGGGAAGACAAUCGCAAAGAUGCACUACCUAGUCCACUACCCUAGCCUGCUAUGGACCUUUGAUGCACCAGUCCUCCAUGCGAUUUGAAGCGAAACACCAGUAUUUCAAGAGGCUCUUAGCAGUUGUGGAAAACCGUAAAAAUACAACGAAGACCCUGGCUAAAAGACAUUAGCUCUGACAAUGCUGGGAGCAAACCAACAACAACUGCCUUGGCAACAACAACACACUGUAUGGACACAAGAGACUUCCAACUGAGACGUCCCACUGCAUGCACUUCCAAACUCUGCCCAUGUAGUGUUAAGUGCCAGAUUCGGAUGAAAUCAUCAGAGCAAAAUGUGUCUCCAAGACAAUGUCCAUUGCAGUGAACAACGAGCGGUACAAUGUAGGAGACUAUCUGGUUAUUGACACUCAUUCAGAAGAGAUUCAUGUGUUCAUGGAAGUGUGUGGAAUAUACAGAUUCCUUGGUGCUGGUGUGGUAAAGUACUGCUACCAGCCAGUUUCAACAACCAUCACCACGCAGACAUGGUUCAACACAGUCAACAAUGGUUUCUAUAAGUCCUGUUGAGGAGAUGGAUUUCCAUGGGUUAGAUGGAUACAGGGACCCAGAGGGAAGAGUGUCCAUUCCAUUCUGCCACUGGUUUGCGGUUAGUUCAAAUCAUAGAUUUAUUCAUUUAGGAAGCACAAUGCACUUUUAUUUUCAUAUGGGUUUCCUAUUCUGAUACACACUAACCAAAACACUGACAUGUUCUUUUUAUUUAGGGUAUUUUUCCCCACAGAACACCAAAUUGAUGGAGAGACAUUGAUGUCAUUGGACCAAAGAAUAGUGGAGCAAAUUGUGUCAGUAGUCUAAGUUUGAAUCAAAUUCACAAAAUUAAUCCAAAAGCUGUAAAUAUGUAAGUCAAUGUAUGACUAUCAUCUGCAUCAUUGAUUCUAUCACAGUGAUCCUAUUCACAUUCACAUUCUCUGCUCUUUUGUUUUCUUUCUGAGCCUGAAAGCACAAUAAACGGUAUUAUUGUCAGUUCCCAGCAAACAGCCCAGCAAAUGACCCAGCAGCAUCUGUCCAGCACAAUGACCCAGCAUCUGUCCAGCAAAAUGACCCGCCAUCUGUCCAGCACAAUGACCCAGCAGCAUCUGUCCAGCAAAAUGACUCAGCAUCUGUCCAGCAAAAUGACUCACCAUCUGUCCAGCACAAUGACCCAGCAGCAUCUGUCCAGCAAAAUGACCCAGUGUAACAGUAUAACUUUAGACCGUCCCCUCGCCCAUACCCAGGCGCGAACCAGGGACCCUCUGCACACAUCAACAACAGUCACCCACGAAGCAUCGUUACCCAUCGCUCCACAAAAGCCGCAGCCCUUGCAGAGCAAGGGGAACUACUACUUCAAGGUCUCAGAGCAAGUGACGUCACCGAUUGAAACACUAUUUAGCACGAACACCGCUAACUAGCUAGCCAUUUCACAUCUGUUACAUCAGCAUCUGUCCAGCAAAAUGACCCAGGAUCUGCCCAGCAAAAUCACCCAUUAAUUAGCCUUCAGCAUGAUAUAUCAACUGGCCAGCAACAGGAAACAUAAUUCAGCCCGAAUCUGGCCAUCUGGGCUUUUAGACUUCCAGAAUUUCCAGACGUAUUAAAAGAAAAACCUGAAAGAAAAUGUGACGAUCUCCGUUGCCCUGCGGUUCUCUCGAAGUGGAGGUCUCAGAUUGGGCAGGUGUUGUUUGCCUUCAUGUGUACCUAUACUUGGAGUCAUGGAACGGCAUGAUAAAGAAUAAAUACAAGUACAGGAAAUGCAGAAGAAGUUUAGGGGGCAAGGGAAAAAAUAAACCCAGAUGACAUCAAAAAUGAAGACCUGACCAAAAUAGCCAAGAUUGAGAUUGGUGAGAAUUCCUUCAGUCAAGAGUUACAUGUUGAACAGAUGCAGGUGGAAUGCCAAGAAAAGAGACCGAACAUCAGUUCCCUACAAGACAAAACGAAAAGGACUGAAAAAUAACGUUUUUAUGAAACAAGGCACCAAGGACAUCUUAAAACUGUACCCAGCACUCCAUUUGUCAGCCAUUGUCUGAAGGUCACUGCAGCCAUUUUGCUCCUCCCCUACCUGUUCAAAGAAGAUCCAAGUGGGUACGUCACAGGUGAGGGGAAUACCUUUACGGAUGAGAGCCACAUUCAACUCUUCCUGGAUGGAGAGGAGCUACUCAUUAAAGAGCUGGAGGACAUCUCCAUGGAUUGGGAGUGGCAAUGGGGGUCCAUUUCCUUUUUAAUAUUGAGUAUGCAGCAUCAUUAAAAAGCACUACGCUGUUCAUUCAGAUGUGUUCUGGGAAUUGAUGAGGGAGAUAAAUUACCAACAAAUGUAGGAAUGGCUAACUUUUUGCUGUAGAGAUGGAUAAGGGAGACCAGAGAUUUCUGGGACGUCUGCAAGUGAGAUUUCUGGGACGUUUAAAGUCAAUAAAAUGAAUUUGUGACUUUACAAGUUCACCACUCAAUGUUAUUUGUAUUAUUAUUGUUCAUAGUAUUAUUAUUGUUAUUGUUCAUAAUGGAAUACAUGGGUCAUAAAAGUUUCCUACAGGAACCUUAACGCCCUAAAAGGUUAUUUGAGGAACCUUUUUAAAAGAUUCCUCAGGGAAAAGGUUCCUGAAAGCAAAGAGAGUUCCAAACCUCUCUGACAAUGGGCGAAUUCGAUUAUAGACCGGACACCGGUCUGUGGCCUGUACAUGUUAUCAACAAGGCAGCAUGUUGCAUCAUCCAGAAACGCACAUCUCCUUUCUACAAAAUACAUGUUCGAUUUGUUUUUUUUGGGGGGGGGUUGCGCCACGGGAUUUUCUUUCAGGAGUAGAGGUUUCUCCUCCGUGUGUUGCGAUUAUUCCCUGUGUGUGGCGACUUCGUUUGGGCGUGUUCUUCCACCUGUUGUUGUUGAGUUGGGACUUCUAAUAAACGAUUGUGCUACUGGGGCUUCCUUGCUCUCCUGCUCAUGAGUCC